AUCAUUACACAAAUAUGAAGGCGGGCUGGAUCUCUCGGGGUUACAGCCUUGCUGAAUUAUUCACCCUUGUCUUUUGCGUACUUCUUGUUUCCUUGGUGGGUUCGCCCACCACUAGGACAAACAUAAACCUUUUGUAAUUGCAAUCAGCGUCAGUAACAAAUUAAUAAUUACAACUUUCAACAACGGAUCUCUUGGUUCUGGCAUCGAUGAAGAACGCAGCGAAAUGCGAUAAGUAGUGUGAAUUGCAGAAUUCAGUGAAUCAUCGAAUCUUUGAACGCACAUUGCGCCCUUUGGUAUUCCAAAGGGCAUGCCUGUUCGAGCGUCAUUUGUACCCUCAAGCUUUGCUUGGUGUUGGGCGUCUUGUCUCUAGCUUUGCUGGAGACUCGCCUUAAAGUAAUUGGCAGCCGGCCUACUGGUUUCGGAGCGCAGCACAAGUCGCACUCUCUAUCAGCAAAGGUCUAGCAUCCAUUAAGCCUUUUUUCAACUUUUGACCUCGGAUCAGGUAGGGAUACC
rnacentral:rRNA from 1 species